AGGGCCUACCCUCUAUUGGGAUCUCAGGCCAUGGCCGAGUACUCUGACUGAUGGGACUACUCUUGGUUGGGAGCUCAGGCCAAGGCCGAGCACACCUGAUCGAAGGGCUUUCCUUUGGUUUAGGGCUCACAAUAAAGCUAAGCACACUUAAUCUUAGGGCCUACCCUCGGUUGAGAGCUUAGGCCAAAGCCGAGCAGACCUAAUUGAGGUGCCAACCUUCGGUUUAGUUGGGAGUUAAAGCCAAUGCCAAGAACACCAGAUGGAAGGUAUUAACCCUCGUAUAGGAGCUGAGGCCAAUGCUGAGAAGACUUAACCAAAGGGCCUACCCUAACCGUGGGGCUCAGGCCAUGGUCGAGCACAUCUGACCAAAGGGCCUACCCUUGGUUGGAAACUCAAGCCAAGGCCGAGUAUAGUUGACCGAAGGGAUCUUCCUUCUUUAACACUUAUACCUUGUUUCAUGGUUACUCUAGGAGGGAACCUCUAGGUGUGGGAAGGCAUCAGGGGACUUCUCAUUGUUUAAUCUUGACAAUAGUACUUAUCUAAAAGGUGCACCAGAAGAAAGGGGGGACAAAUAAGGAUACAAAGUGAAUUACAAUAUUCAUCUUUGAUUACUACCACUCAGCUUGUAACGUAAGUUUCGUUAAAUUCACUAUAUUGUUUUACAAGAACUAAUUUUUUGGUUUCAGAAAAUUUAUUGAUAGUUUUUUUUCCAAUUGUGCAGGAAAUUGGUUUGGACAACGACAAGGAAAAAGCUGUGCAACAUUAACUUGGUUAAAAAUGAGCCUUGCUUACAUCAAAGGAGAAAGAUAAAAGGAGAACCUGUUAAAAUACUAGUGCCAAGGAGAGAACCACUAGGUGUGGGAAGGCAUCAGAGGACUCCUCACUGUCUGAUCAUGACAGUAGUACAUCUUAUCUAAAACGUAGUACGAAAGAGAAGGGGGGACUAAUGAGGAUACAAAGUGAAGGACAACAGUCACCUUUUUUUUAUUACUACCACUCAGUCUGUAACGCAAGUUUAGUUAGAUUCACUAUAUUGUUUUACGAGAACUAGUUUUUUGCUUUCAAAAAGUUUAUUGAUAGUUUUUUUCCAAUUGUGCAGGAACUUGACUUGGGUAACAAGAAGGUAGGAUUUACGUAACAUAUUUCCCUUCUAGAAACGAAGUUACAUGUAGUUUUGUAAUUAUUCCACCCCCUCCAAUAUAUAUAUAUAUAUGUAGUUUGGUUUUGUUUGUUUGCAGCUAAAAGCACCCCUGCUUGAAUAUAGAUGUAGAUGAGCCUUGCGUACAACAAAGAUUGUAUAAUUGCUGAUAAGUUAUGCCUAUAUCAUUUAUUUGUUUUCUAGUAUCAUUCACGGUGAUGCCUUUAGAAAUAAAUCCUUUUUUGCAGGUGA